rnacentral:rRNA from 1 species
UACAGAGGUCCCAAGCGUUGUUCGGAUUCAUUGGGCGUAAAGGGUGCGUAGGCGGCGCGGUAAGUCGGGUGUGAAAUCUCGGAGCUUAACCUGGGAACUGCAUCCGAUACUGGAUGGCUUGAAUUCGGGAGAGGGAUGCAGAAUUCCAGGUGUAGCGGUGAAAUGCGUAGAUAUCUGGAGGAAUACCGGUGGCGAAGGCGGCAUCCUGGACCGACAUUGACGCUGAACGGCGAAAGCUAGGGGAGCAAACGGG